ACUCACCGGAAGUUGGACCUAUGUCUGCCGGAAGUUUCGGCUACUGCCUGCCGGGGAGCCGGAGUGUGGUGGUUCUGCGUUGAGAUGAGAAACAACAUGUGCGAGAACUGGAGUAUGGUGGCGGAAAUUUUCCUCUUGCUGGAAGGUUUCAGUGAGGAGACGGAGCAGAUCCAGUGUUUCUGCAGCAGAGCCUACGUACAUGACCGGGAACUUUAUCGGAUGGGAUUAAAGGGUACAUGUUAUGACAAUGAAGAUAAUGGAGGUACGUGUUAUGACAAUGAAGAUAAUGGAGGUACCUGUUAUGACAAUGAGGAUAAUGGAGGUACAUGUUAUGACAAUGAAGAUAAUGGAGAUAUCCAAGAGGAAGAAGAAAAGAGUGAAGAAGACUUGAAUGCUGAUGAUGAGCCCACUCCUAAUACUGUAGAAAAUCGGGAGGAAAGUGAAGUGGAUAGUGAGGCGGAGCUGAUGGCAAAUAUGGGAUUACCUCUCCAGUUUGGUAGCUCAUCGACCUAUAGGCAACCAGUGACAAAUAUUGUUUCAAAGAAAAGAGCCAAAAAGAAAAAAUCAAAUUACAAAUACACUGAAGAUCUAUCUGAAGUUUGUGAAGAAUGCCCAGGCAAGCUUUUAAAUGUCUGUUCAACCCCUUCCUUGGGGUUGACCGAGGAGCAAACAGAUUUUGAAGAAUGUAUUGACCUUAAUCAUUCAUGUGAAGGAGCAGCAGCCUCUGAGCUAGAUUUAAAAACGGACUGGGGAAAAUAUUGGAAUCAGUAUGGUGAGGGUCUUCUUUGGGAAAAUUGGUUAGGCAAGCAUCCCAAAUGGUCAGAUGAUGCACCUGCACCGUGGAACUGUCCUGAUACCAAGGAGCAGUGGCAACAGUUCUACACCGAACAUUAUUGGCAGUAUUAUGAACAGUUCCAGUAUUGGGUAGAUCAAGGCUGGUCUGUGGACUGUUCUAAAGACUGUGAUCUUGAGAAGGAUUUAUCUUGUGCAAAUGUAGAUGAAACAGGAGACUUUUUCACUAAUACUGAAAAUAAUGCUGGUGAACAUUUCAGGACUCUGCUGCAGGCAGAAUCAGUCGAUGCAUCAAAUGGAGAAAGUACAACUGAGUGUAAUGAGGUUAGUUAUGGAGAGGUUGUCAGUAUGAUCAAUAAUAUAAUACUUGAUUCAGGAAAUGAGACUAAGCAAUCAACAGGUGUAAAAAACAAUAUCUACUGGAGUCCUACUGAUGCUGCAAUUUCUUGUGAGUGUGCUUCUGAUGAGCAAGAACCAUGUGAUGGAGGCAACAAUAAAAGAUGUGCAUCCAGUGGAAGAAUCUCCACAGUUCAGUCAGCAGAUCCUUCUAAAACUUCCAGCAAAGCAUUAAAAACUGAUGCUGCAGCAAGAAAAAGUCAGAACAGUGGAGAUGAGGAGGAGGAUGAUCCACCCGAACCUAGACCAGUAAAGAUGAAGAGAAGUCAUGAACUUGAUGCUGAAGAGAAUCCAGUUGUGACAGUAGAAGAUGCCUACUCAGCUCUUGGUUUCAAGUACCAUGCAAGUAAAAACAUUUCAAAAUUUAGUCAUGGACACGCACACUAUCGUAAUGUCGCUGAGUUGUCCAGACGUCUUGACAUGCAUCAGCCAGCAGCUACCAAAAAUAAACACAUAUUCUUCAGUGAAGAAGGGGACGUUCUGAAGUUUAAGAAAAGCAGAACCUUGGCAAAGGUGCAAAGAUUUCUAAAAGAAGUUGUGCCUUCAGCUGACUCUGAGUCAAAUGGCACAGAGACACAACCCGGCAUGGUACUUAGCUCUGAGGAAUACACCAGCUCUGAGCAGCACCACAGUUCUAAAGCAGAAAGCUCCACUAUUUGCGAAAACAGCAACGGUGGAAAUAGAGAUGAAGGAACUUGUGAUGAUGGAGAAUUCCUAGCUUGUGUCAACGUCCCCUCCAAAUUGAAUAUCUGCAAUGAAGGCAACAAUGAGCAGCUUCCCGAAAUACAUGAUAUGACCGCUGCUCCUACCAAAAACUGUGAACCGUAUUCUGACAGACAGCUGGUUCCAAUUGAUAUUCCAGACUUUCUUCUUCCUGAUGCUGAUGUAACUGAGAGGGCUGAUGAAUCACAACAAAUGAAGAGUCUUAGAAAGGAUAAAAAGCGAAGGAAGAAAAAGAAAGUUUUUCAUAUACCGCCUGAUAUUGUAGCCGUUCCAGAAUUGACCAAGUACUGGGUUCAGCGUUAUAGACUGUUUUCGCGCUUCGACGAGGGAGUCAAACUUGACCAGGAAGGCUGGUUUUCAGUCACUCCUGAGAAGAUUGCUGAGCACAUUGCCAAUCGUGUCAUGCAGAGUUUCCACUGUGAUAUCAUUUUGGAUGCAUUUUGUGGAGUUGGAGGCAAUUCAAUUCAGUUUGCAUUAGCUGGGAAAAGAGUGAUCGCUGUUGAUAUUGACCCUGUGAAAAUAGAUCUUGCUCAAAACAAUGCACGAGUCUAUGGAGUAUCUGAACAGAUUGAAUUUAUCCUGGGUGACUUCAUGCUGCUGGCUUCUGAUCUAAAGGCUGAUGCUGUAUUCCUCAGUCCUCCCUGGGGAGGCCCCGAUUAUGUCAAUGCAAAGAUCUUCGACCUGAAGACUAUGAUGUCUCUUGAUGGCUCUGAAAUUUUUGCACUUUCUCAGAAGAUCACUCCGAACAUAAUUUAUUUCUUACCUCGCAAUGCUGACAUAGAGCAGGAACUCGAUGAAAGUUACUGCAAUUGAUGAACCUGACACUUGAAUUAAUAAUGCAACAGAUGAAGCCAGAUACUUGAAUUAGUGGCUUCCUUAGCUGGAGCAGGAGGACGAGUAGAAAUUGAACAGAAUUUUCUCAAUAAUAAACUGAAGACAAUCACUGCUUAUUUUGGUGACUUAAUACGAAAUGAGUAGAGCAAUUUAAAGAUCAACAUUGUAUGAUUAAUCUUUGAUCAUAAUAAAACCUUUUGCUUAA